GCGAUUUAUGCAAAAGAAGCCCAUUUUUCCACGCUGAUUUGCUUUUGUCCAACACAUCUGCGGAGUGUGUACGGUGGACAGGCCCUCGGGAGGUGAUCUUGUGAACACUUGCUGAGGAUCCUUGAUGCCGAGUGCAGGAUGUUUCCUACCAGUUUGAAGCCAUGUCUGAAGGGUUCCGAGGUGGAAUGUUCUGCGCUGGCCGAUGGCGGCGUCGGGGGGGGGGCACUGCACCGCAUGCCCAUGGUGACGAGGAAACAGCUGACGCAGGCAACAACGGCAUAGACCAACAUCUGAAGGAUGACAGAAGAAAGCUUCGACGGUGGUGUUUUUCGGUCAGACGCUGGCAGCGGUGGCGCAGCCGCUCAUCAUCUUCACGCCCACCAAGAUGGCGGCGUUGUGGUUCCCCGAUCACCAGCGAGCCACGGCCAACAUGAUGGCCUCCAUGGGGAAAAAAAGCUCCAUCCCCCUGGAAAAGAAGGAAAGAAGGGAAGAAUAAUGUGGAUUUAUUGAGGAGAAAGAGAAGUAAAUAUUUGGUGGCGUUUAAGAAGUGUUUGUGUUCCACCUGCAUGACAAGAUGAGGACUUUUUUUAAGGCAGCACUUCCAACAAGAAGAAGAUGAGGACAUGUUUGAGGCAGCACUUCCAACAAGAAGAAGAUGAAGACAUGUUUGAGGCAGCACUUCCAACAAGAAGAAGAUGAGGACAUGUUUGAGGCAGCACUUCCAACAAGAAGAAGAUGAGGACAUGUUUGAGGCAGCACUUCCAACAAGAAGAAGAUGAGGACAUGUUUGAGGCAGCACUUCCAACAAGAAGAAGAAGAUGAGGACAUGUUUGAGGCAGCACUUCCAACAAGAAGAAGAAGAUGAGGACAUGUUUGAGGCAGCACUUCCAACAAGAAGAAGAUGAGGACAUGUUUGAGGCAGCACUUCCAACAAGAAGAAGAUGAGGACAUGUUUGAGGCAGCACUUCCAACAAGAAGAAGAUGAAGACAUGUUUGAGGCAGCACUUCCAACAAGAAGAAGAUGAGGACAUGUUUGAGGCAGCACUUCCAACAAGAAGAAGAUGAGGACAUGUUUGAGGCAGCACUUCCAACAAGAAGAAGAUGAGGACAUGUUUGAGGCAGCACUUCCAACAAGAAGAAGAUGAGGACAUGUUUGAGGCAGCACUUCCAACAAGAAGAAGAAGAUGAGGACAUGUUUGAGGCAGCACUUCCAACAAGAAGAAGAAGAUGAGGACAUGUUUGAGGCAGCACUUCCAACAAGAAGAAGAUGAGGACAUGUUUGAGGCAGCACUUCCAACAAGAAGAAGAUGAGGACAUGUUUGAGGCAGCACUUCCAACAAGAAGAAGAUGAGGACAUGUUUGAGGCAGCACUUCCAACAAGAAGAAGAUGAGGACAUGUUUGAGGCAGCACUUCCAACAAGAAGAAGAUGAAGACAUGUUUGAGGCAGCACUUCCAACAAGAAGAAGAAGAUGAGGACAUGUUUGAGGCAGCACUUCCAACAAGAAGAAGAAGAUGAGGACAUGUUUGAGGCAGCACUUCCAACAAGAAGAAGGACUAGAAGUGACGUCAUACCUGAGGUGAGUGCAAACUGUGAAAGAGGUGACUUGUCUUAAAGCGACAGUACACCCGUUUAAAUGAGUGACAUGCAAUGAAAGAUGUCUCGGAGACAAGAAGAAGGACAACUAGUCUUAAAGGAAUAAUAUUCAUGGCUGAAAAACUGCAAAAGAAGAGACAAAAUAAUCUAAAUGUUGAAUAAAUCUG